UUGCAAGAGAGACUCGGGGGUUUUUUUACACUGCUGCUUUUUCUGUAAUUUUAGAGCUUAUGACCAAAGCUGGCCUGAAAAUAUUACACAGAAGUUCCCACCAGCAGCUCUCACUUAUUCUUGGACUUGUGCAGAGAAUUUGCUGUUAGAAGAGAGAAGAGUGCAUCUGAUAUACCCAGGAAGGGAGAUCAAUAAGAGAAACAGAGACAGCUCUGUUGCU
rnacentral:lncRNA from 1 species